rnacentral:rRNA from 1 species
UACGGAGGGUGCGAGCGUUGUCCGGAAUCACUGGGCGUAAAGGGCGCGUAGGCGGCGCGACAAGUCAACGGUGAAAGCCCCCGGCUCAACCGGGGAGGGUCGUCGGGGACCGCACCGCUUGAGGGCGGUAGGGGCUGGUGGAAUGCCUGGUGUAGUGGUGAAAUGCGUAGAGAUCAGGCGGAACACCCGUAGCGAAGGCGGCCAGCUGGGCCGUCCCUGACACUGAGGCGCGAAGGCGUGGGGAGCGAACGGGG